rnacentral:antisense_RNA from 1 species
GGGCCCCAGGGUAACAGCUUGACCUCUGGAGGCACUGGAGACAAAGAUCAGCCACAUGGCAGUCAACCAUGUCUAUCUGACCAAGUUCCAAUGAAAACUCUGGACACCAAGGCUUGUGAGAUAUUUCUCAAAAGACUCCUCUGCGGGAGAGGAGAAUAGCUGUACUCUAAGCAGUUCGCAGGGAGCAUCUUUCAGCAGCUGAAACAGCUUUGCGGCCUUGCUGUAAUGAAGAUCUGCCAGCACCCGGUGUUGUUUCCUAAGGUGUUCAUCACCAACCUAGAACCAAACCAAAACAAGCAACAAAUCCUUCACGAGAAAGAAAGAAAACAACUGUGUAAGCAGACAUCAGUGUAAACCUUAGCACUGUCUCUUGAUGAGAUAAGAGGAGGAUGGCAGUGACAGGAGUGUGGUGGCGAGCCAGUCACCUGCAGUCAACCACGGCUCAUUGCUCUCACCAUGCCUGUUACAUGAAGGUAUGUAUGUAUAGGAAAAAGCACUGAAAAACUCUCCAGUUUCAGGCAUCCACUGGGGAUCCUGGAACGCAUCCUCCAAGGAUAAGUGGG